rnacentral:rRNA from 1 species
AGAACGAACGCUGGCGGCAGGCUUAACACAUGCAAGUCGAACGGUUGUAGCAAUACAGCAGUGGCGCACGGGUGAGUAACGCGUGGGAACAUACCUUAGAGUUCGGAAUAACAGCGGGAAACUGCUGCUAAUACCGGAUAUUCUCUCCGGAGGAAAGAUUUAUCGCUCUAAGAUUGGCCCGCGUCAGAUUAGCUAGUUGGUGGGGUAAUGGCCUACCAAGGCUCCGAUCUGUAGCUGGUCUGAGAGGACGACCAGCCACACUGGAACUGAGACACGGUCCAGACUCCUACGGGAGGCAGCAGUGGGGAAUAUUGGACAAUGGGCGAAAGCCUGAUCCAGCCAUGCCGCGUGAGUGAUGAAGGCCUUAGGGUUGUAAAGUCCUUUUAACGGGGAAGAUAAUGACGGUACCCGUAGAAUAAGCCCCGGCUAACUUCGUGCCAGCAGCCGC